ensembl:lncRNA
GGAAUUUUUCCGGAAUGGAAUUUUCCCUGAUUUUUCCGGAAUGGAAUUUUCCCUGCUGGAAGUGAAGGGUUCCGAGUUGCAAUCCCAAAAUUCCUCCCUAUGGAAGCUGCGCAGGGGGAUCCUGCCAAUCCCAGAGGUUUUUCGGGAAACCUGAAUUUCCCCGAAUUCCUCUUCCUUCCCUUUAUGGAAUUCCUCAGCUCAUCCAACACUACAGCCCUGAUUCCUCCCGGGUGAAAAAUCCAAGGAAAACCGAAUUCCUGGGAAAAGAGAGGGUUGGGAUGAGGGGGAUUUUGGGAUGUGGUGGGAAUAUCCUGGUGCUGAUCCCUUUUCCAAGGAUCCUGGGGGUGGGAUCUUUGUCUCCAUCGGAAUUUGAUCCUGGGAAUUUCCUUCUCCAUCCAUGGGAGCUGCAGCUCCCUCAAUCCCAGCCAAUCCCAAAGUUCUGAAAGGCUCAGAAAUCCAAGGAAAGCAGGAGAUCCUUGGGAUUGGGAAUCCCUGUCCAAGGAAAUCAGGAACUCCUUGGGAUUGGGAAUCUCUAUCCAGGGAAUGCAGGAGCUGAUUUGGAUUAGGAAUCUCUAUCCAAGGAAAUCAGGAAUUAUUUGGGAUUUGGGAAUCCCUAUCCAAUGAAAUCAGGAGCUCCUCAGGGUCAGAAAUCUCUAUCCAAGGAAAUCAGGAAUUUUUUGGGAUUUGGAAUUCCCUAUCCAAGGAAAUCGGGAAUCUUUUGGGAUUGCAAAUCCCUACAGAGGAAAAGCAGGAGCUCCUUAGGGUCAGGAAUCCUCAUCCAAGGAAAUCAGGAAUUAUUUGGGAUUGGGAAUCCUUAUCCAAGGAAACAGGAAUUUUUGGGGAUUCGGAAUUCCCUGUCCAGGGAAAUCAGGAACUUCCUGGAAUUGGGAAUCCCUAUCCAUAGAAACUGGGAACUCUUUGGGAUUGGAAAUCUCUAUCCAGGGAAAGUGGGAGCUUCCCAAGUUCAGAAAUCCCUAUCCGAGGAAAUCAGGAUAUUUUUGGGAUUGGGAAUCCCUGUCCAGGGAAAUCAGGAUAUUUUUGGGAUUGGGAAUCCCUGUCCAGGGAAAUCAGGAUAUUUUUGGGAUUGGGAAUCCCUGUCCAGGGAAAAUGAGAAAUUUUUGGGAUUGGGAAUCCCUGUCCAGGGAAAGCAGGAAUUUUUUGGGAUUGGGAAUCCCCAUCCAGGGAAAUCAGGAGCGUCCCAGGUUUCCCAACCCCCAUCCCUGGCACACGGGACCCUUUUGGGGUCGCCAAUCCCAAACCAGGAUCAUCCCAAAGGCUCCAAUCCCUUUUCCCGGGCGGGUGGGACCUGCUGGGCUGGGGAAUCCCGGGAAAGCGGCAGCUCCAGCCCCAUUCCCGCUGCUCAUCCAUGAAAAUCCCCCCGGAUCAGCGGGAUCGGGGCCGCCCGAGCGUGAACGGGGCUGAGCUCAUGGAAUUCCCGGCAUUCCCGACGUUCCCAGCCCCCCAUGGAAACCCCACAAACCCCGGUUGGGAUGGGCAGGCCGGGAUCCAUCGAUGCCACGUUUUCCCCGACUCUUUUUCCCGGUUUUCCUUGGAUUUCUCCCCCAAAUCCCUCCUUUCCCCACCACCACCCCCCAACGCUGGACAUUUCCGACGAGGUGAAUCCCAAAUAAACUUUUUUUUGGAAGGGAGUGGGGCCGGGGU